rnacentral:rRNA from 1 species
CCUACGGGAGGCAGCAGUGAGGAAUAUUGGUCAAUGGGCGCAAGCCUGAACCAGCCAAGUCGCGUGAGGGAUGACGGUCCUAUGGAUUGUAAACCUCUUUUGUCGGGGAGCAAGGCCCGCCACGUGUGGCGGGAAGGAGAGUACCCGAAGAAAAAGCGUCGGCUAACUCCGUGCCAGCAGCCGCGGUAAUACGGAGGAUGCGAGGGUUAUCCGGGUUUAUUGGUUUUAAAGGGUGCGGAGGCGGAAGUUUAAGUCAGCGGUCAAAUGUCGGUGCGCAACACCGGCCUGCCGUUGAAACUGGUCGUCUUGAGUGAGCGAGAAGUAUGCGGAAUGCGGGGUGUAGCGGUGAAAUGCAUAGAUAUCACGCAGAACUCCGAUUGCGAAGGCAGCAUACCGGCGCUCAACUGACGCUGAGGCACGAAAGCGUGGGGAUCGAACAGGAUUAGAUACCCUAGUAGUC